rnacentral:rRNA from 1 species
UACGUAGGGGGCAAGCGUUGUCCGGAUUUAUUGGGCGUAAAGAGCGUGUAGGCGGCCUGAAAGGUCAGCUGUGAAAACUCGAGGCUUAACCUCGAGACGUCGGUUGAAACCAUCUGGCUAGAGUCCGGAAGAGGAGUGUGGAAUUCCCGGUGUAGCGGUGAAAUGCGCAGAUAUCAGGAAGAACACCCGUGGCGAAGGCGGCUCUCUGGGACGGUACUGACGCUGAGACGCGAAAGCGUGGGGAGCGAACAGG